CCUACGGGAGGCAGCAGUAAGGAAUCUUCCACAAUGGACGAAAGUCUGAUGGAGCAACGCCGCGUGCAGGAUGAAGGCUUUCGGGUCGUAAACUGCUUUUAUAUGGGAAGAUUAUGACGGUACCAUAUGAAUAAGGACCGGCUAACUACGUGCCAGCAGCCGCGGUAAUACGUAGGGUCCAAGCGAUAUCCGGAAUUACUGGGCGUAAAGCGUGUGUAGGUGGAUUAAUAAGUGUGAUGCGAAAUCCGGCGGCUCAACCGUUUGGACUGUGUCGCAUACUGUUAGUCUAGAGGACGGCAGAGGUAAGUGGAAUUACGGGUGUAGCAGUGAAAUGCGUAGAUAUCCGUAGGAACACCAAUGGCGAAGGCAGCUUACUGGGCCACACCUGACACUGAGACACGAAAGCGUGGGGAGCGAACAGGAUUAGAUACCCUGGUAGUCCACGCCGUAAACGAUGCAUACUAUUAGUAUGGGGUAUCGACCCCCUGUGCUGAGAAGCUAACGCGAUAAGUAUGCCGCCUGGGGGAGGACGAGCGCGAGAACGUUAAACUAACUUAAAUUAGUAGUUAGUUAGGCGUUGAGAGNGCCGACGGACGACGACGAGGGAGGAGG
rnacentral:rRNA from 1 species